CAAUAGCGUAUAUUAAAGUUGUUGCAGUUAAAACGCUCGUAGUCGGAUUUCGGGGCGGGUCUGCCGGUUUGCCGAUGGGUAUAUACUGGUGGGUGCGUCCUUCCUUCCGGAGACCGCGCCUCCUCUUAACUGAGCGGGCGUGGGAGACGGAUCGUUUACUUUGAAAAAUCAGAGUGUUUCAAGCAGGCAUGUCGCUCUUGCAUGGAUUAGCAUGGGAUAAUGAAAUAGGACUUUGGUGCUAUUUUGUUGGUUUCGAACACCGAAGUAAUGAUUAACAGGGACAGUCAGGGGCACUCGUAUUCCGCAGAGAGAGGUGAAAUUCUCAGACCCGCGGAAGACGAACCACUGCGAAAGCAUUUGCCAGGGAUGUUUUCACUGAUCAAGAACGAAAGUUAGGGGAUCGAAGACGAUCAGAUACCAU
rnacentral:rRNA from 1 species